UAAGCGCACUCAGGCGCGCGAGAGAAACCUCUCUAAGGAACUCGGCACAUUAGCCCCGUAACUUCGGGAGAAGGGGUGCCCAAUGACGUUGCAGCAAUGUGGCGUCGGCGGGUCUCAGUAAAUUGCGUUUAGCGACUGUUUAACAAAAACACAGCACUCUGCAAAGUCGUCAAGACGACGUAUAGGGUGUGACACGUGACCAAUGCUGAAAGAUUAAGAGAUCUUGUUAGCCGCAAGGCGAAGCUCGGUCUUUAAGUCCCAGUGAAUGUCGGCCGUAACUAUAACGGUCCUAAGGUAGCGAAAUUCCUUGUCGGGUAAGUUCCGACCUGCACGAAUCGUGUAACGACUGAACGACUGUCUCGGAGAGGAUCUCGGCGAAACUGUAACGGCGGUGAAGAUGCCGCCUGCCCGCAGUAGGACGGAAAGACCCUAUGCACCUUUACUGUAAGCUCGUAUUGUGUUCUGGUUGGCUAUGCGUAGCGUAGGUGGGAGACUUUGAAGCGGGUGCCUCGGUGCCCGUGGAGUCGCAAUGUGAAACACCACUCUUUGCUAAUUAGGAUUCUAACCUCAUGCUGUAAGCCAGCUGAGGGACAGUGCGUGCGGGUCAGUUUGACUGGGGCGGUUUCCUCCCAAAGAGUAACGGAGGAGCGCUAAGCUUGGCUCAGCAUGGUUGGCAACUAUGCGUCGAGCGUAUGGGUAGAAGCCAGGUUAACUGUGAGACCUACAAGUCGAGCAGAUGCGAAAGCAGGCCCAAAUGAUCCGACGGUUUAAUGUGGAAUUGCCGUCGCUCAACGGACAAAAGGUACGCUAGGGAUAACAGGCUGAUCGGAUCCAAGAGUUCAUAUCGACGAUCCGGUUUGGCACCUCGAUGUCGGCUCAUCGCAUCCUGGGGCUGGAGAAGGUCCCAAGGGUCCGGCUGUUCGCCGGUUAAAGCGGUACGCGAGCUGGGUUCAGAACGUCGUGAGACAGUUCGGUCCUUAUCCACUGUGGGCGCAGGAAACUUGAGGGGUUCAAACCUUAGUACGAGAGGACCGGGUUUGACGCACUUCUGGUGUGGCAAUUGUUCCGUCAGGGGCAUCGUUGCGUAGCCAUGUGCGGAAGAGAUAAGCGCUGAAAGCAUCUAAGUGCCAAGCUCAUCCCAAGAUAAUGUCUCCCGGGGCGCAAGCCCCCUAAAGACCACGGGCAGACCACCCGUUUGAUAGGCCAGAGGUGUAAGCGUUGUGAGACGUUUAGCUGACUGGUACUAAUCGGUCGUGCGGCUUGAUUGC
rnacentral:rRNA from 1 species